AGAGUUUGAUCCUGGCUCAGAAUGAACGUUGGCGGCGUGGAUUAGGCAUGCGAGUCGCGCGAGAAUGUAGCAAUACAGGAAAGCGGCGGAAGGGAGAGGACAACAUGGGAAACUGCCCUGGGGACGAGGAUAGCGUCGGGAAACUGACGGUAAUACUCGAUAAUGUUUGCGGACCAAAGGUGUGAUUCCGCCCCAGGAUGUGCCCAUGCCCCAUUAGCUAGUUGGCGGUGUAAUGGACCACCAAGGCUAUGAUGGGUAGCUGGUGUGAGAGCACGACCAGCCUCACUGGCACUGAGACACUGGCCAGACACCUACGGGUGGCUGCAGUCGAGAAUCUUCGGCAAUGGACGAAAGUCUGACCGAGCGACGCCGCGUGCGGGAUGAAGGCCUUCGGGUUGUAAACCGCUGUCGAGGGGAAUCAAAUGCAAGGGGGUUCUCCCCCCUGCUUGAGAGAACCCUGGAGGAAGGGGAGGCUAAGCUCGUGCCAGCAGCCGCGGUAAGACGAGCUCCCCAAACGUUAUUCGGUAUCACUGGGCUUAAAGAGUUCGUAGGCGGCGAAGUAGGUGAGGUGUGAAAGCCCUCGGCUCAACCGAGGAACUGCGCUUCAAACCGCUUUGCUAGAGGGAGAUAGGGGUAAGCGGAACAGAUGGUGGAGCGGUGAAAUGCAUUGAUAUCAUCUGGAACACCGGUGGCGAAAGCGGCUUACUGGGUCUUUUCUGACGCUGAGGAACGAAAGCUAGGGUAGCGAACGGGAUUAGAUACCCCGGUAGUCCUAGCCGUAAACGAUGAGCACUAGUCUG
rnacentral:rRNA from 1 species